rnacentral:tRNA from 1 species
AGGGAUGUAGCGCAGCUUGGUAGCGCCUUUGUUUUGGGUCAAAUCACGGGUUCCAAUCCUGUCAUCCCUACCUUUUCUUCUCCUCUGGGCAGUCACGAGGGAUCAAUUGAGAUCGAUUCGGACAUACAUCAUUUUCAUUCUAUGAGACUAUAUGCAUGUUUAGUAUUGGGGGUACAAAAAGAAUCCUUUUCUUUAGUCGUAUCUACUGUGAUAAGAAAGCGUUCUUAGUUCAGUUCGGUAGAAUGUGGGUCUCCAAAACCUGAUGUCGUAGGUUCAAAUCCUGCAGAGCGUGAUUCUA